UGGCGGACGGGUGAGUAAUGUCUGGGAAACUGCCUGAUGGAGGGGGAGUAACUACUGGAAACGGUAGCUAAUACCGCAUAACGUCGCAAGGCCAAAGAGGGGGACCUUCGGGCCUCUUGCCAUCGGAUGUGCCCAGAUGGGAUUAGCUAGUAGGUGGGGUAAAGGCUCACCUAGGCGACGAUCCCUAGCUGGUCUGAGAGGAUGACCAGCCACACUGGAACUGAGACACGGUCCAGACUCCUACGGGAGGCAGCAUG
rnacentral:rRNA from 1 species